rnacentral:tRNA from 1 species
UAGGAUAUAGUAUAAUUUGGGCAAUACGCAGAAAUUUGGAUUCUGAUGAUGCUAGUUCGAGUCUAGCUAUCCUAG